AACGUAGGAGACAAACGUUAUCCGGAGUUACUGGGCGUAAAGGGCGCGUAGGCGGUCUUGUCAGUCCCUUGUGAAAUCCCCCGGCUCAACUGGGGAACUGCACGGGAAACAGCAGGGCUUGAGUUCGGGAGAGGGAAGCGGAAUUCCGGGUGUAGCGGUGAAAUGCGUAGAUAUCCGGAGGAACACCGGUGGCGAAGGCGGCAUCCUGGACCAACACUGACACUGAGGCGCGAAAGCGUGGGGAGCAAACAGG
rnacentral:rRNA from 1 species